rnacentral:lncRNA from 1 species
GUAUAAUUUUAUUUUAAACUAUUUUUACCUAUUUUUUUUUUACAGGCAGCAGGGGAGCACUCCCCCUGCUGGCACUGCUGUGGACAGCUAUGCUAUCACAUGGACAGCUAUGCUGUCCAUGUGAUCGUGAGGUCCUCAAAAGAACCUUGUGAUCACAUGGCCCAGGAGGGCCGGAACGGCAGCAGAGGGACUCCCUGGGAUGCCAGGCGAGUCCCCCACAGUGAUUGCUGGCGACUGAGUAAAUAGGCUUGCAGGUUUUUUUUUUUUUUUAGAGCCGGGUCCCCAAGGACGGCAUAGCACGCCCGCCCUCCUUAAGGGGUUAAGCUGUAGUUGUUCUGGUGACUAUAGUGUCCCUUUAAGGCAAGCUCCACUUCCUCUGUCAAGCUAACAAUGGGCGAAGCUUGCCUCAAGCUCCACCGUUUGUCAAGAUUGCCAAAUGUAGGAAAAAUACAUGAGAUAAAGUAGUCCCUAUUUUGUCUUAUGUCUUUAGAAAUUAAGUAAAAACAGAUUCUGAAAGAGAGAGGGUAAGUAGAAGAAAGGCAAGUAUGAGAUGACAGACCCUUCAGGAUGUAUGCAGCAGGAAAGCCAAAACCUUAAUAAACUACUUACAAAAUCAUUGUCAACACAUUUGAAAAUGUAGCAUUGUAGCGCAUAUCCUCACUUUUAUUUUUUCCUUCAUUGAAUAUUACGUGGAUUGAUAAGUAAAUCCCCUGUAGCGUGUAAAAGUAUGCCUUGCUUCCUAAAACAUCUCCAUUAAACACUCUCUCCAGCUCACACUGGUGUGUGCUUUAUUGCAUAGCAGUUUAACAUGUUAAUGAGGUUCAGACAUCUUGUAUUAAAUUUUGAUUCAUAAAUAGAUCUACAUAUUUCAAACUUUCAAGUUUUUCCUUCAAGAUGUAAAAGGUACAAGUCUUUAGCGUGUUGUUAAAUUUUGCCAUUAGUGGAUUAAAUGCUCCUUUAGUGUGUUACCCCAAUUUAUUCACUGUAUUGCAAAACCGUUUAGACCCAAUAUUGAGGGUCAGGCAUUUAAAUGUUCCGGAUUUCUUUUUUUGAAUUUCUAUUUUAAAACUAACCUAAAUACAAUUUGUGGCUGGCAUUCUUUGGAACGGUUAUAAGGCAGUUAGCCAAUGCACAGAUGCAAUGUAUUUUUAAAGAUAUUGAUUAAACAAUAGUAAAUGAACAGUAUUCACUUCUUCAGACGUGGCUAAUAGCAUUUUUCAGUGUGAGAAAUAAAAGGAAUCUAAACACAAGCAAUAAAGUAAAUAGUAAAUGUCCAUAUUGCAUAACUUUUUUUCAAUAAUUUAUACUAUGAUUAAAGGGACACUAUAGUCAGCAAAACAACUUUCGCUUAAUGAAGCAGUAUUGUUGCUUAGAUCAUGCCCCUGCAGCCUCACUGCUCAAUUCUGAAUUCUGUCACUUGGGAGUUGUCACUUUCUAUAUGCAGCCAUAGGCACACCUCCCUGCAUGUGACUUCCUAACCACUUCCUAUAAAGAGUCAUCUAAUGUUUACACUUCCUUUAUUGGAAAUUCUGUUUAAUUUAACAUAUCUUCUGCUCUGUUUCCUAGACCCUACAGGAGUUUCCUGUGUGUGAUUAAAGUAAAAUUUACAAAGCAGGAGAUAAAAAAAAACUUUUAAGCGUAACUUACAUCUGAUUGAAAAUUAAACCAUUUUUUUUUUUCCUGCAUUGUGGCUAGGACUGCAUAAACAGAAAUUAAAGUGAUUUAACUCCUAAAUGGCAUAUUAUUGAGCAGUAAAACGUCAGAGGCAUUAUCUAUACACAAUAUUUCUUUAAGCUAAAGUUGUUUUUGUGACUAUAGGUUCCCUUUAACGUACACUUUUUAUUUAUUUUUAAUCUGUUCUACUCAUGUAUUUUUUUUUAAUUUUUUUUUUUAAAUACAUGUCAGAUUCUGGUAGGAGACUAAUGUGCUUUAACUGUAAGGCAAGCUGCAUUACAAAGAUAUUUGCGCUAUAUAUUUGCGCUAUAUAAAUAUAUAUUCAUCUAUAUCUUAGCAAUAUAAUAAUUUCUUCUUUUACGGGUAGUAAAACAGCAAGUUGAUGAUUUCAGACCUCACUACACUGGUUUCUAGCAGUUCUGAAAUAGGUCUCUUUUGAUAUGCCAUUUCAUUAUAAAUAAUAAGGUUUGGGAUUUUUCCCCUGUUUAAAAUAAUUACCGUCAACAUUUUGAAAAUAAAAUCAUUUUCAUGCAACA